CUUUUAAAGGAUAGAAGUAAUCCACUGGUUUUAGAAAUCACUAACCCU
rnacentral:tRNA from 1 species